UACGUAGGGUGCGAGCGUUGUCCGGAUUUAUUGGGCGUAAAGAGCUCGUAGGCGGUUUGUCGCGUCGGCCGUGAAAUCUCCACGCUUAACGUGGAGCGUGCGGUCGAUACGGGCAGACUUGAGUUCGGUAGGGGAGACUGGAAUUCCUGGUGUAGCGGUGAAAUGCGCAGAUAUCAGGAGGAACACCGGUGGCGAAGGCGGGUCUCUGGGCCGAUACUGACGCUGGAGGAGCGGAAAGCGUGGGGGAGCGAACAGG
rnacentral:rRNA from 1 species